GCUGAGGUGGUGGAAUUGGUAUACACGGAGGACUUAAAAUCCUCUGCCUCACGGAUUAAGGGUUCAAGUCCCUUCCUCAGCACCA
rnacentral:tRNA from 1 species